rnacentral:piRNA from 1 species
UGAACCCUCCCCCUACUGACAUGGACUUGUU